GCCGGUGCCCUUGCUGACGGGGUCACACCCGAUCCCAUCCCGAACUCGGAAGUUAAGCCCGUCAGGCCGAUGAUACUGUAAAGGGAAAGUAGGUUAGUGCCGGCG
rnacentral:rRNA from 1 species